rnacentral:rRNA from 1 species
CAAUAGCGUAUAUUUAAGUUGCUGCAGUUAAAAAGCUCGUAGUUGGAUUUCGGGUGGGAAUGGCCGGUCCGCCGUUUCGGUGUGCACUUGCUACGCCCACCUUGCUGCCGGGGACGUGCUCUUGAGUUCACGCUCGGGACACAGAGUCGGCGAGGUUACUUUGAGUAAAUUAGAGUGUUCAAAGCAGGCCUACGCUCUGAAUACAUUAGCAUGGAAUAACACGAUAGGACUCUGGCCUAUCUUGUUGGUCUGUAGGACCGGAGUAAUGAUUAAGAGGGACAGUCGGGGGCAUUCGUAUUUCAUUGUCAGAGGUGAAAUUCUUGGAUUUAUGAAAGACGAACUACUGCGAAAGCAUUUGCCAAGGAUGUUUUCAUUAA